rnacentral:rRNA from 1 species
GCUUGGCCCUAAACCUCAGUGGUUAGAUAACAAAACUACUCGCCAGAAUACUACAAGCAACAGCUUGAAACUCAAAGGACUUGACGGUGCUUUACACCCCCUAGAGGAGCCUGUUCUAUAAUCGAUAAACCCCGAUCCACCCCACCCUCUCUUGCUCAGCCUAUAUACCGCCAUCUUCAGCAAACCCUAAUGAAGGUCACAAAGUGAGCGCAAACGCCGCCCCGCGAAUACGUUAGGUCAAGGUGUAGCCUAUGAGACGGUAAAAAAUGGGCUACAUUUUCUAUCUCAGAAAAUCCACGAAAACCCUUAUGAAAUUUAAAGGUCUAAGGAGGAUUUAGCAGUAAAUUAAGAAUAGAGUGCUUAAUUGAACCAGGCCAUAAAGCGCG